rnacentral:rRNA from 1 species
AUUGAACGCUGGCGGCAGGCCUAACACAUGCAAGUCGAGCGAGCGGCGGACGGGUGAGUAAUGUAUGGGGAUCUGACCGAUAGAGGGGGAUAACUACUGGAAACGGUGGCUAAUACCGCAUACUAACGGAUUAACCCAUCUGGGAUUCACUAGUAGGUGGGGUAAAGGCUCACCUAGGAGACGAUCUCUAGCUGGUCUGAGAGGAUGAUCAGCCACACUGUGACUGAGACACGGCCAAGACUCCUACGGGAGGCAGCAGUGGGGAAUAUUGCACAAUGGGCGCAAGCCGGAUGCAGCCAUGCCGCGUGUAUGAAGAAGGCCUUAGGGUUGUAAAGUACUUUCAGCGGGGAGGCGUUACCCGCAGAAGAAGCACCGGCUAACUCCGUGCCAGCCGCCGCGGUAAUUC